CCUACGGGAGGCAGCAGUGGGGAAUAUUGGACAAUGGGCGAAAGCCUGAUCCAGCAAUGCCGCGUGAGUGAUGAAGGCCUUAGGGUUGUAAAGCUCUUUUACCAGGGAUGAUAAUGACAGUACCUGGAGAAUAAGCUCCGGCUAACUCCGUGCCAGCAGCCGCGGUAAUACGGAGGGAGCUAGCGUUGUUCGGAAUUACUGGGCGUAAAGAGUACGUAGGCGGUUAUUCAAGUCAGAGGUGAAAGCCCGGGGCUCAACCCCGGAACUGCCUUUGAAACUAGAUAGCUAGAGUCUUGGAGAGGUUAGUGGAAUUCCGAGUGUAGAGGUGAAAUUCGUAGAUAUUCGGAAGAACACCAGUGGCGAAGGCGACUAACUGGACAAGUACUGACGCUGAGGUACGAAAGCGUGGGGAGCAAACAGGAUUAGAUACCCUGGUAGUCCACGCCGUAAACGAUGAUAACUAGUUGUUCGGGCACUUGGUGCCUGAGUGACGCAGCUAACGCAUUAAGUUAUCCGCCUGGGGAGUACGGUCGCAAGAUUAAAACUCAAAAUGAAAUUGACGG
rnacentral:rRNA from 1 species